rnacentral:misc_RNA from 1 species
UUUGCUCCAUGCACCAACAACACCGACACUCACACAGUUACACACAUUUACACAAAAGUAUACAAUUGUACGGUCCACACACAAACUUAGUAUACACACACACAUCAGCUCAGCUAUUUCGUACACUCAACACUGACGUUUUAUCCGAGAAUUGGUUCUCUCCGACUCCCACCUCCAUCGCCGCCGCCUUCACUCGUAGUCUUAUGUUCAAUUCGUACGUAACAUAAACCCGUCUUGGCCGCCGUGUGCGCAACGCUACAACUUCGCUACAGCCACCGAUCGACUGCUGCCACCGCUGCUGUUGCUGUUGCUGCUGCCGUUGCUGUUGCUGCUGCUGCAUUCUGUCGUGCUUCGUCCGUGUGUGGUGAGUGUAUGACGUGGUUGUCUUGAACGCACACGACAAUAUUGUAAAUAACAACGAAAGCAACAACACUUGAUCCACAUCACAGUGUAGACGAGAAAUGCGAGAUUUUGACCACAAACGGGGCAGACAAUUGGUUGACUGUACCACUGAAGAGGACACCGUUGCCGAGGAGACAGCCGCAAAAGAAAAAAUGCCGUCUGAUACUGAAAGUAACACAAGUUUUAAUAACAGCAGCGUGAGGACUUUUAAAAUUUUCAUUGGAAAUCUUUCUGAAAAGACUACAUCUAGUGAUAUCAGACCACUGUUUGAGAAGUAUGGCAAAGUUGUUGAAUGUGAUGUAAUGAAAAAUUUUGGCUUUGUUCAUAUGGAUGAUGAUAACACUGGACGUGCAGCCAUAAAAGCUUUGAACGGUACAAUGGUUAAUGAUUUAGCCAUGAAAGUAGAAGCUGCCACUAGUCGCCGUGGUCCCAAUACCCCAACUACAAAAAUCUUUGUGGGAAAUCUUUCUGAAACAACUAAAGCCAAUGAAGUACGAGAAUUAUUUGGUAGAUACGGAACUGUUGUUGAAUGUGACAUUGUCAGAACUUAUGGUUUUGUGCAUAUUGAUUCAACUGAUGUAAGCAGACUUAUUAAAGAUUUAAAUGGCCAUAUGUUAGAUGGUCAACCAAUCAAGGUUCAAAUCUCAAAUAGUCGUGUUCGUCAAAGACCUGGAAUGGGUAUGCCAGAGCAGUGUUAUAGGUGCGGCAAGGGUGGCCAUUGGUCUCGGGAGUGCAGUCGUGAAGGGUAUGGAUAUGGAAGAGAUGCUUUACCACCACUCCCACCACCACGUGCCCUACUUUAUCCACCACCGCCUCCACCUUCAUUUGUUCGUGAUCGUAUCCUUGGUUCUUAUGGUACUGGCUUGAAAACUGACAUGACAAGAAUGGAUGAUUACUCAAUGUUGUCACAUUCUGAACUUGGUGGUCAUAUGUAUGAAACUGAAGGCUUGUAUGAUCGUUACUAUGAUCGUAGUCUUAUGAGAACAGCCGCUGAUGGCUAUGGCAUGGAUAGAAGAAUGCCAAGAAUGCCAUCUAGUCGCGAUUAUUUAUCAUCAUCCACACGUAUUGGAACAACUAUGCGUGACCAAGAUUAUGUAUUCACACGCCGCUCACCAUUGUCCAGCAGUCGUACAUCUUCAUCUCAUGCAUAUGAUGAUUUCUCUAGGGAUUCAUAUGAUGAUCGUCGAGUUUCGGGAUCUCGCGGUUCGUCGCGUUACACGCCGUAUUAAAAAAAACCGUGUAUAUAUUAUCGUGCCGCCGCCGUAUAUUCGCGUCGCCGGAUCGGAUAACCGUACACUCACACAUCGCCGACCGUCAACAAUUUUUUAUUUAAAUCGGCUCAAGUUUUUAAGGAGCCAAAAUUACAUUUACGAAAUCUUAUAAGAUUAUUUGUCUACGUAGGUUUUUUUUUUUUAGGUUUAAUUAAAAACAUAUAAUUUCUUAGUGUCACAAAUUACAAUUUUAUUUUAUUUAUAGGCAUUAGACAUAAAAGGUUAAAUUAUCUGGGCUCUUAGAUUAUUUAUAUUGAUUCAUAUUUUCUACCUUAGAUGUAAACAAAAUAAUUUUCUAGAAUUAUUUUAAGGUAAUAUUGACUAUGUUUUUUUUUGAAUAUCACUAUAAUCACAUCAAUCAUAUAUUAAUAAUUAUUUCUGGAAUUUCUGUUUGUCGAGUUAUUAAACAAAUUUUCUUUAGAAAAUUAGAAUGUAAGCCUUUAUAGUCAAAGGUUUUUACAGUUAGGUUAAUGUAUUAAUUAAAUUACUAAAAUAUAUUAAUAUUGUAAGCCCAAAUAAUCUUAUGACAACAUUACAUUGUAAUUCUCAUUGUAAAAAAUUUAAUAAAAUAAAAUAAAAAUAAGUAUGAUAAAUACCAUCUAAUUUUGUAGUCCCUAUAUUCUCUUAUAUAUUAGUUAAGUGUUUUUUAGUUUGACCGUUACAGCCGACCGAUCUCGUAGUUUGCCGAAAACGUGAUAUUUCCGUACACUGUUCGGUGCGUACGAUGUUCCGAGGACUAUUUGAACGAAGCCGGUGCGUUUGCGAUUCGUGUAAAAUACUCAUUCUUAGAAUAUUAUUAACAUGUGGCUGAAUGUGGUCAAUGUGGAUAACACUGACCAGUGACCAUACUACAAAAUCAUGCAUUUUUAAUAUGAAUCAUUGUGAAUGUCAUCUUCUGA